rnacentral:rRNA from 1 species
AACGAACGCUGGCGGCGUGCCUAACACAUGCAAGUCAAACGGGAAAGUGCUCUUCGGAGGGCGAGUACCGUGGCGAACGGGUGAGUAACACGUGGGCAAUCUGCCCUCAGGAUCGGGAUAACCCGCCGAAAGGCGUGCUAAUACCGGAUAAGACCACACUGCCCCCGGGCAGAGUGGGAAAAGGUGGCCUCUCCAUGGAAGCUAUCACCUGAGGAUGAGCCCGCGGCCUAUUAGCUUGUUGGUGAGGUAACGGCUCACCAAGGCGACGAUGGGUAGCCGGCCUGAGAGGGUGAACGGCCACACUGGCACUGAGACACGGGCCAGACUCCUACGGGAGGCAGCAGUGGGGGAAUUUUGCGCAAUGGGGGGAAACCCUGACGCAGCAACGCCGCGUGAGUGAUGAAGGCCUUCGGGUCGUAAAGCUCUUUUAGUGGGGAAGAAACACCUUGGGACGAAUAAUCCCAGGGCUUGACGGUACCCACAGAAAAAGUUCCGGCUAACUACGUG